rnacentral:lncRNA from 1 species
GAUUGAAAACAGCCUCUCUGCCCUUUCGGAUAGGGGUAAGGCUCGUCUACAUAUUACCCUCCCCAGACCCCACUUUGUGGGACUAUACUGAGUAAUUGUUGUUGUUGUUAUUUUAUCAAUCAGGGAAAGGUUAGGAGAUGGUGCAGAGAAUGAUUGAUAAACUGUUGUAUCAGGUGGCGGAAUUUUAAGGAAUUUGAAGAUAAGAACUACUUAGAUCAUUCUUACUGCGUCUUCUUUCGUGCUAUGGUAAUGAAUGUCAUUGAACAGCUAUUGGAAAUGUCCAAACUUCUUUUAUUUCUCUGUUUAGUUACAUAUAUCUUUUACUGCAACUCGGGAUCAUAAACUUGAAGCAGUAAUAAUAAAACAACCUCAAGAAGUGGGCAUGCCUGCAUCAAUGUUUUUAUUUUGUGGCAGUGAUCUCGGGACCAGCUUGUGCACACAACACUACUAUUCUACCGAGUACUAGCUAUCUCUCACUUUAAACAUGUGGUUUCCCAUGGUUCUCAUCUCAUUUCAUUUAUGGGUAAACUGGUGUUGUCUGCAAAAUCGUUGCUUGCAUGUGCUUUUCCAUACCUCUGUACCCGGUACCUUGAUCAGUAUCUUGCUGUAAUAGAUGUUCAAGACCUUUAUUGUCUCGUUACAUUUGAACUUUUUUUGUAUUACCGUGGUAAUGAUUUAUGGAAGGGAGCCUUAGCGUAACUGAUAAAGUUACUGCCAUAUGAUCAGGAGGUCACGAGUUUGAGCCGUAGAAAUAGCCUUUUGCAGAAAUGUAAGGUAAGACUGCUUAUGAUAGACUAUUGUGGUCCCGCCUUUUCGCGGACCAUGCCCACAGCGGAAGCUUAGUGCACCGGACUGCCAUGGUAAUGAUUUAUGGAGAUAUGAUGGUAUUUUACAUUUUAGGAUAUCAAAUCACAAUUCCGUGGAUGAAUUUUUAUUUUUAUGAUGUGGACUGCAAAAUCUGAAGACGUCUAGAAGAGUGUCUUUGGUGAAUAAUCUUACCAAUAAUCUGGAGAAUUAGUGGUAACAAGUUUCACUACUAUGUUUACUCUGCUUUUGAUUAUUGUAGAAUACUACUUAAUCUUUUCAUUAUUAGCUUAAGAUUACCAGCAGAUGUGCGGGGAAGUCCAAUGUUUAUUUGCUUAUCUAAAUUCAUUUACGUAUUGUUUGGAUGGUUGUUUUCCGUUGUAUUGUAUUGUAUUGUUACCCC